AUACUUACCUGGCAGGGGAGAUACCAUGAUCAAGAAGGUGGUUCACCCAUGGCGAGGCCUGGCCAUUGCACUCCGGGGCUGACCUAUGCGAAUUCCCCAAAUGUGGGAAUCUCGACUGCAUAAUUUGUGGUAGUGGGACUGCGUUCGCGCUCUCCCCU
rnacentral:snRNA from 1 species